rnacentral:rRNA from 1 species
UACGGGGGGGGUAAGCGUUGUUCGGAAUUACUGGGCGUAAAGGGCUCGUAGGCGGCCAACUAAGUCAUACGUGAAAUCCCUCAGCUUAACUGGGGAACUGCGUGUGAUACUGGAUGGCUUGGAUUUGGGAGAGGGAUGCGGAAUUCCAGGUGUAGCGGUGAAAUGCGUAGAGAUCCGAAGGAACGCCGGUGGCGAAAGCGGCGGACUGGGCACCUUCUGACGCUGAGGCGCGAAAGCCAGGGGAGCAAACGGG